GGGGUUGUAGCUCAGUGGUAGAGCGCUUGCCUAGCAUGUGUGAGGCACUGGGUUCAAUUCUCAGCACCA
rfam:Ictidomys tridecemlineatus contig020445, whole genome shotgun sequence.